rnacentral:rRNA from 1 species
UACGAGAGGCCCAAACGUUAUUCGGAAUUACUGGGCUUAAAGAGUUCGUAGGCGGCGCAGAAAGUAGGGUGUGAAAGCCCUCGGCUCAACCGAGGAAUUGCGCUCUAAACUACUGUGCUUGAGGAAUCUAGAGGUGAGCGGAACUGAUGGUGGAGCGGUGAAAUAUUUUGAUAUUAGAAGGAACACCAAAGGCGAAAGCACUUUGCUCGGACUAAACUGACACUGAGAGACGAAAGCUAGGGGAGCAAACAGG